AACGUAUACUGGAUCAUAUACACAUGCUGAAUAUGGUUUGCAAGACACUUCACUGGUUUAAAAUUCUAAACUUAUGUUUACUGACUUUAAAAGCUUUUGGUUUACAGAUGACAACCAAAGUAUCGACCCAGGUUAGCGAUACUGUUGAAUCAUGGAAUACACCAGAUAUCAUGAACUACACUAAUGACGUAAAUAGGUAUAACCUAGACCUUAGUGGAAUAACGUCGUUAAUGAUUGAAAUAAAGGCAUGCAACUAUGCACAUGUCCUUCUAUCAAAUUCUGUUGUCAGAAACUCGUCAAAACCAUUGUAUGAGAUUAUCAUUAGCUAUGCUUUUGACAUAUCGUACAUUAUCUACCGUGCAGAAGAAGGUCAUGAAACAGACUUUUCUACUCCGAAUAUACUAAACUGCACUGUGUAUCUUCCAUUCUGGAUUAGUUGGGCAGAUGGUGAUAUUAAAUUAGGAACUGGGAUUGUCGUUGGUGACUAUGUUUUGGGAAAUUUAAAAAAUACAGAUCAUUUUGUAGUGAGAAGUAUUGGAGUAUUAACAGAUAAAGGUAGAUUAGGAAAAUGGAAAAUAAAAAUUGAAGUUUCAGACAAAUUUGCUGGAUAUUUUGACAGCUGUAAUAUGAGUAAUACCAAGUCUGACGUCGUUGUAGUCGAUGACGUUAAAUGUUCAAGAAUCAGGUGUGCUACGAGCUGUGGACUGUUGAAGACUUGUAUGGGUUUUAAUUUCAACAGUGCCAGGAACAGAUGUGAACUACUCUCGUUUGGAUCAAAUGUUGUGACAGACAUACCACAUCACAUUGAAGCUGGAUGGAGAUUUUAUAGUAAAUGUUACAAUGGGAAAACUGCUUGUCUUGGAUGCUAUUUUUAAGCUACCAUUUGACAGUAGACAGUCUCUGAUAAGGAUAUCAUUUGCAAUUAUUUAUUUGUUUUUAGGUUUUAGAACUGCAUACAUUUAUUGAGUUAAUAUUUGUUAUUUAAAGACAACUGUAAAUUAGCGAUUCUCUAAUCUCGUAAAUCCAUUAAGAAAAUAUCAUUCAAGGUAAAAAAAUAAAAACUGAGGGAAUCGAAUGAACCGUAACAAAACGUGACCGAGUGCUUUAAGCGUCUCCUGCUACUUCUAUCCUUAAAUCACUGUUGAAGAAGAUUGUGUUGUGAAAAGCAUGAACUGUUAAUGAAUCCUGCAUAUGAAUAUGCAUGCUCCUAUCGUAUUUACAUUCAGAUAUGUAAACACCGUACGAUGAAGCAGUAUGUAUGUUACUGCUGGGGAAUCGGAGUUUAAAAAUAGGUAAGCUGAAAUCAUAACGUUAUCAUAGAUCUAAUUUUGAAGUUGUGUUUCUGUGUAAAUACCAAAAAAAAAGAUACAAACCUUCUAGUCUAAGUAGUAUCCUUAACUUCACAAGGAUUUUUGAGAUGCAAUAACAAGCUGUUGUAUAAAAAUUAGGAGAUGAGUUAUGAUUUCCAAUGAGACAACUAUCCACCAAAGUUCAAAUAAAGUUGAUGUAAGCAAUUAUUGGCAACCGUACGGCUUUCAACAAUGAGAAAAAGCCAUACCGUAUAGUCGGCUAUAAAAGGCACAGACAUACAAAAUAUGAAACAAUUCAAUUGAGAAAACUAAAGGCCUAAUUUAAAUAACAAAACAAUUUACGAAAAACAAAUAUAACUGACAUAGACCAACGACAACCUCUGAACUAAAGGCUCCUGACUUGGAACAGGUACAUAAAGAAUAAAGAAGUUUGUGAGCGGUGACCCCCCCCCCCCCCCCCCCCAACCAAGUUUAACCUUGGACAGUGGUGUAACAGCACAAACAUAGGAACAAACUAUAAAAAUCAGUUGAAAAAGGCUGAACUCAUCAAAGGGUAUACAAAGCAGAAAAUCAUCAAACAUAACCACAGACCAGACGUAGCAGGGCAUUUAUCCAUUCCUCAUCCCUAACAACAAAAAGGACACUAUAUACGGAUCUAAGAGUACUCGCAGUUACUGACAGCUAGUUCAAACCCAAUAACAACUAAUAAAAAUAAUCGUGUAUCUAGGACUGUUAUGUAGGUUAUUGAGUGACAAAUCAUGAUUAAUAUAUCUUAAACUGCUAUUUAAAGAACUAGGGAUUUCUUUUCUUUCUUUCUUUUUAUAACUAUAUAUAAAUUCUGCUUCACAUAGAUACAAAAAUAAGCUGAAUGGUAGAGGUGUACAAUAAGUACCCUUUAAUCCACCAUUUUCUGCAUCAGGAAAUGCCUGUUCCAAGUCAGGAAUGUGAAAGUUGUUUUCCAUUCGUUUGAUGUGUUUGAGCUUUUGAUUUUGUCAUUUGAUAAGGGACUUUCCGUUUUGAAUUUUCCUUGGAGUUCGGUAUUUUUGUUAUUUUACUUUUUACAUAUCUAUAUAAAAGUUAAUUUAUUUUACACCGAAAAGACUUACUUACCACUAUCGACAUGUCAAGCAUUGUGCGUGUAUAGAUUUCAGAUGAUUAAUUUCAACUUUAAUGAGUAUAAAGGUGAAAAUUACGUUUGUUGAAAAAGUUGUAACUGAAAUAAAACUGAACGAAUUAAAAGACCUGAACUAAGGUCUUCUAUAAGAAGUGUUCGGAAAGGGAUUUAAAUACUGUGCUAGUGUGAAAUACCAAUACCGAUACAAGAUUUUAAAAUAUACAAUUGCAUUGAAAGGUAACUAUGCGAAGCAUAGUUUUCUUUUGUAGCAAAUAUUAAGCAGGCCUUUUAACAGGUUGAAAUGCAUAUUCCAUUUUAAACAUAUCCUCCUAACCCAAAGAUAAUAAAAUAAACUUCUUUUACGUAUGAAAUCUGAGCGCCUCUUCCAACAAUAUUUCAGUUAUAUAGUGGUUUUCAGUUUUAUUGGUGGAAGAAAUCGUGUUCUUUAUUAGAAUUUAAGGUUACAGAUUUCUCUAUUCUGGAAACAUGAUAUAAAAUAAGGAGAUCGGGUAUGGUUGCCAAAAAAGACAAUUAUCAACCAAAUAUCAAAUAACGUUAAUAUGAGUAACUAUGUAGGUCACUGUAUGGCCUUCAAAAAGAAGCAAAAUCAUACUGCACAAAAAACUUUAAAAGGCCCGACAUAAAAAGCGCAAAUUUCAAAUAAACAAACAUUCUGAACAAAGAUUGAUUCGGAUGUGAUUUGAUUUCAAUCAUUUUUUAUUCAUUAAUUUUGAUCAGUGUGCGGAUUUUCCUUUUAAAUUGAAAAAAAUAGUAAGAAAAGGAGGGACAACGAUUAUGUACUUAAUCGAUCAAUAAUAUGAAAAAAGCAAUUUUAUUAUAAUGAUAUUAAUAUAUAUAUAUAUGAACAAUGAUCGUGUUGUUUUACUGGAUCCUGGUCCAUGUAUAGAGGAAUACAUUGUUAUUAUCUAAUUGUUUAAAAAUCCUCUCAUCAAUAUCAAACACACCCAUACAGGUAACUUUAAUGAUAGAUUAUCUGUGCUUAUUUUAGAUGGUCCCUUUUAUAGGAUAUAGUGAUAUUGGUAGUUAAUAUCAGCACCAGAAUCCUUUUGACUUUUGUAAAACGUCUAUUAAGAAUGACAGGAUUAUUUUCAUAUUAAUGAACGAAUUAAAGAAAAGGAUAAAACCUUGUGUCUUCAAAUGUACAUAGCGUAGCUGCUCAGAAGAAAUUUUAACAUAUUCAUCUCACACGACCUGUUUGGUUCUAAAUAACAUUGAACUGUGCAAUAACAUGCACUUUUUUCACCGUCAUAUUUCAGGAAAUGAAUUAAUUUUUCAAUAUCAUUUAUGCAGAUGGAAUAUAAUUUGCAACACCUUUCAACCUUAACAAACUAAGUUGACAUGACAAAGUUCAAUAUUGUAAUAGAGAAUCGAUGCAGCUUGCGUGGUAUAUAUGUACGGAAUAUCGGAUAAGUCGAACAAUGAUAAAGGGUCCCUUUAAAUUCGACUUAUCGGGAUUUUACUGUAGUAUUUUGUUCUGCUAAUUGUAGUUUUAAUGCUGGUAUAUUUAUAUUGAUGCUUCCAUAACCGCAUUUGUAACCAUUGUUGAGUUUUUGAAAAUGUACAUAAUACCUAAUUAUAUGUUAACCUUCAAUGAAAAUAACACUCAAUAAAAGUUGUACAGCCGAAGAGCAUUUAUUGAUUAACUUUCAUUUGGAAAGCUCGAAUAAAAAACUUUUAAAACUGCAAAUUUUUAUUAAAUUUAAAUUGUGGUCAGACAAAUGUGUACACUUAAGGAAAAGACCUAGAAUAAAAACGUGGGUAUUUGUAUGUUUCAUCUUAUGUCGGAAAGUGCUGGUAUAUCUUAUUAAGAAUUAUUUUUAUGUCGAACUAUAUUACAAAUAAUUGAACAAUUUUUGAUUGAAACUUUUUAUCAUAUGAAAAAAAGGUUUAGGUUGGACGGAAAAAUUCAAGAUUCAAUGAACUUCGUAUGUUUUACAAAGACAAAUUUUUAAUCAACUGACAUAAGCUUUCAGCCGUUUUAUAUUGUGCAUCUUCAAAAUAAAUUGUUUAGUUGUUUAUUUAUGUAUAAUUUUAUAUGAGUGUAUGCUUCUAAUCAUCUUACCAUAUGUGUUAGUGUUAGCUUUAUAUGGAAUUUCUAUUCAUGAAUGUGUAAUUUUGCAUAAAAGUUGUUAGUUUUUAAAUGUGUUAAUAAAGAAAAUUUUGUGU